UACGUUGGCACCUGUUCUCGUACGAUCAUCGAAGUUAAGCAACAUAGAACCUGAUGAGUACCUAGAUGGGUGACCGUUUGGGAAUAUCAGGUGUUGUAA